AUUCCAAUCGAACUCGGAGAUAGCUGGUUCUCCCCGAAAUAGCUUUAGGGCUAGCCUCAUAUUAGAUACCCGGAGGUAAAGCACUGAAUGGCCUAGCGCCCGAGAGGGUAGCGAAGCCUAUCAAACUAAGAAUGCCGGAGUAUUGAUGUAUGGGAGUCAGACAGUGUGAGAUAAAUCUCAUUGUCAAAAGGGAAACAGCCCAGAUCUACAGCUAAGGUCCCAAAUUGUAUCUAAGUGGAAAACGAUGUGGAAAUACGCAGACAACCAGGAUGUUGGCUCAGAAGCAGCCACUCAUUUAAAGAGUGCGUAAUAGCUCACUGGUCGAGCGUCUCUGCGCGGAAAAUUUAACGGGGCUAAGAUACAAACCGAAGCUUAGGCUGCAUCGUAAGAUGCGGGGUAGGGGAGCGUUGUGUAAGCGGAGAAACAGUAGCGUAAGCGGCUGUGGAGUUUACAGAAGUGAGAAUGCCGGAAUGAGUAGCGCGAAUGAUGUGAGAAUCAUCAUGGCCGGAAACCUCAGGUUUUUGGAGGAAGGUUCGUCCGCUCCAAGUUAGGCGGGAGCUAAGGUGAGGCCGAAAGGCGUAGCCGAUGCACAGACGGUAGAGAUUCCGUCCCCACCGAAAGAUUUAAGCGCAGGGACACUUUUAGAAGGUCGGAGCCAGGUGUUGGUUCUGGUAGUGAUCGAGGGAAAUAUAGUACCGAAGUCCGGCUGGAGGAGAGGCGAGAAAAGCUGUGUGUAUAUCUAAGGUGCCCGUACCGCAAACCGACACAGGUAGGUAGGAAGAAGAUUCUAAGGCCAACGGGAGAAGGGUUGUUAAGGAACUCGGCAAGUUGACCCCGUAACUUCGGAAUAAGGGGUGCUCACGAGAGUGAGCCGCAGAGAAUAGGCCCAGGCAACUGUUUACCAAAAACACAGGUUUGUGCUAAAUCGAAAGAUGACGUAUACGAGCUGACGCCUGCCCGGUGCUGGAAGGUUAAAAGGAGAUGUGCAAGCAUUGAAUUGAAGCCCCAGUGAACGGCGGCCGUAACUAUAACGGUCCUAAGGUAGCGAAAUUCCUUGUCAGGUAAGUUCUGACCCGCAUGAAAGGCGUAAUGAUCUGGGCACUGUCUCAACAGCCCGCCCGGCGAAAUUGUAGUACCGGUGAAGAUGCCGGUUACCCGCGACAAGACGGAAAGACCCCAUGGAGCUUUACUGUAGCCUGAUAUUGGGUUUCGGUGUUGCAUGCACAGGAUAGAUGGGACGCUGGGAAAGAAGCGCUUUGGCGUUUCUGGAGCGGACGUUGGGAUACCAUCCUUGCGACAUUGGAAUUCUAACCUGCGCCUCUGAAUCGAGGCGGGGGACAUUGUCAGGUGGGCAGUUUGACUGGGGCGGUCGCCUCCUAAAAAGUAGCGGAGGCGUUCAAAGGUUCGUUCGAUCUGGACGGAAACCAGAUGAUUGAGUGCAAACGCAUAAACGAGCCUGACUGCGAGACUGACGGGUCGAGCAGAGACGAAAGUCGGAGUUAGUGAUCCGGUGGUAUGUGAGUGG
rnacentral:rRNA from 1 species